AGCAGCCGCCGCGGGAAUACAGAGGAUGCAAGCGUUAUCCGGAAUGAUUGGGCGUAAAGCGUCUGUAGGUGGCUUUUCAAGUCCGCCGUCAAAUCCCAGGGCUCAACCCUGGACAGGCGGUGGAAACUACCAAGCUGGAGUACGGUAGGGGCAGAGGGAAUUUCCAGUGGAGCGGUGAAAUACGUUGAGAUCGAAAAGAACACCAACAGCGAAAGCACUCUGCUGGGACGACACUGACACUAAGAGACGAAAGCUAGGGGAGCAAAUGGGAUUAGAUACCCCAGUAGUCCCUGUCUCUUAUAC
rnacentral:rRNA from 1 species